GUAAUUAGGUAAUUUCUUUUUCUCCAAACCACUGAGUUUUUGUUUUACUUUAUAAAAUAACACCUAUUAGUUAUCAUUAUUAUUAGUAGUAGUGUUUCAAACAUAAACUAUGUUAAUGUGAUAUACAAAUCACACAAACACAUAAGUGAACAUAGAAAAUAAAGACUGCUGGUAAUGGUAACUUGCAGAAAUAACCACUGUUAACCUUUCAUUCUGAAUGUUUCCUAUUGUAUAUAUUCAUCCACAUCUAUUUGUACACUUUUCUUCUACUUUGGGGUUAUGAUACACAACCUACCCUGUAGCCUGUUUUCUUUUCUUUACUUAAAAAUCUAAGAUUUUUCAGAUUACAUAUUCCUCCUAAACAUAAUUUUAAUGGUUGUGUAACUUUUUGUUACACAGGUAUAUUAACACCAAUUUAAAUAAUUUUUUAUUUUUCAGUAUUUAGGUUGUUUCCUAUUUUAGCUUCUUAUAAUAUUAAUCUGAUCAACAAAUCUGCAUCCAUGUAUUAUGUGCAUGUAAACUGGAUUAUCAUUUUAAGUGUGAGACAAGAAAUUCCCAGCAGUUAUUCAAUAUUAAUAUGUUUCUCUCUCUCUUCUCCCUGUAUAUAUUACACAGACACACACAAGCAUAUAAAAUAACACUACAAAACAAGUAGCAAUAUACCAGCAAGGCUGAAGAGGUAACGGAAAUACAUAGAUGGAAAAUCCAAGAUACAAAUUCAGUUCUCUCUAACAACAAAUUCUAAAUUGUCUCCUCUAUGACACUACUGCUAAUAGUAAUAAUAACUCGCCUUAGUUGAGCACUAACUAUGUGCUAGGCAAGGUACUAAAUACUUUAUGUAAACUGUCUCAUAUAACCCUUACAACAUCUCUAUAAGGUUGUAGACGCAAAAAGGGGGUGAUCCCUUUUCUCCUCAUAAAGGGUCAUGGCCAAAACUCCCCGUAACAAAAGAGAGCUUGAUAAGAGACAAGCAUAACAAAUUUAUUAUGUGCAUAGGAGUCACACAAAAAAAUAUUAAAAACUCAAAAAAGGGCCAGAUGAUUGAUGCUUAAAUAUCCUCUUCAUUGGAGAGAGGAAAGUGAAUGAAUAGACCCAAGGACAAGAUAAUGAUUUAUCAAAGAUUCUCUUUGGAUGCUGAAUGCAACCAAAAAACACACAAUAGCUGGUGGACAAGUUAGAGAAGGGUGUGGGGCAGAACUGCAUUGUGAACAAUGGUUGUCUUAUUACGCAAGUACAGUUCCCCAAGUAAUUUCUCACAACUGCCCUUAAAAGAAUCGAUGAAAAGUCUGUCUGCAUGUGGUUACAAUUUCCAGUCUCUCCUCUUCUCCAGUGUUAAUCCUUCCUGGUUAUUUAAUGAGAUUCCUAAGAAGAGGGUUUUAAGAUAAUUUCCUUUAAUUUACAAGAAGUUUUCUCAGACAAAUACGGAAAUUUCAGAGAAAGUCCCUUUUGGAAAAUAAAAAGGAUCAGAGAAACAGGAAGGCAGAGGAAGGUCAGAGGGAGACCUUAAAGGUCUCCCUUUACUUUGGCAUGCCAGAGCAGCAUAUUUUGAGGUAUUGGUUUCUGAGCCCCAACAAGGUAAACAACUAUUAUUAUAACCAUUUUAGAGUUGAAGAAAAAGGAGCAAAAAUAAUUUAAUAAUUUCUGCAAGGUCACACCACUGGUUACUACAUUUGUCAAGAAGUCUCAAUGUGUAGAGGGUAGACAUACAUUACAAGAUGACUUCAUAUUUGGAUACACUAUAUGGGUUUGAGAUAGGAUUUUUUGGUACCUAUAAUAGUCAUAUUGGCAAAUGUUACAAUGGUGGCAGUAGAGUAUCUUGGUUAACAGUACAGACUCUAGAGACAGACUGCUCAAAUUCAGAUUUCAGCUCUGGCACCCUAGCUGUGUGACCUUAGUCAAGUUAAUUAAUACCUCUGUGCCUAAGUUUUCUCAUCUCUAAAAUUGGGAUAAUUAUAAUAGAUAGUUAUGAAAAUUAAAUAAGAUAAUUAAAUAGACAGCUCCCUUCCAGUAAGGCUUCAAUAAAUGUUAACUAAUAUCCAAAGAAGUAAUAAACAAAAUGACAAAAAAGCAUCAAAUAAAAAUUAACACAUAAAUAGAGGCGUUUGCUCCUAGACUGAGCUAUGAAAAAUGAGACUUCCUUUGGAAAAUUCCAAUUAGGCUUUCGUCUGUUAACAUUUAGAGUAUAGUGAAAAUUAAAAAAUAGCACAAAAACAUAGUAACUUAAUUUCGACUCUAUUGUAUGUCAUAAAAUAAUUAGCUAUUCACUCUUCUCAAAUGAAGAGAGCUGGUAGCUCACUGCUGGGUGAGACCUCAGUGAAAACUCAUUCACAGAAAGAACCAGGAUCAGUUUUCUAGCAUUUAGGAAAAAACAUCCAAAGAGAUAUAAACAAAAGUCUGCAGACACAGCCCAGAGAAAGUCUGAUAGGUGAAUAGAAGCCAAGUGAGCUAGGGAGAAUGCCUUUCUCACCCCUCCAAUCGACACUUACAAGUUCCCAAGCUUGAUGACCUUGGCUCAUCCUAAAAAAGACAUCUGUACCACAUCUGUGCUGAACGGCAGAGGCAUUUUCAGAAAAGCACAUCUCAAAGGACAAGAUCAAAUGACAUUGUAACUGAAGUCUGCAUUUUUGGCCCACUUCAAAUGCGGAGAGAUACACCUGCAGUUUCUGAAUGGAUUUCUUCAACAAUGCCGCCUAAUUGACUCACAUUAAAAAUACUUUGAUCGACCCAUCUCUUUGUCACAUGAAGCUGGAAACACUAACAGAGGCUGUUGGAAAGAAAGGUCUGGUUCCGUGGCCAAAUACCUUGACUUUUCCAAAAACAGACUUUUUCUGUCUCUUCAGAAGAAGAAUUACAUGCAAUGGGAAGAUUGAUGUUCCUCUGUCAGAAAGCUACCUUGGAACAGGUGCUCCCAAUUAAUUUCCAUGAGCCACAUUUAUCCUGUGGUCAGAUAAUUAAAAAAAAAAUAACCUGGAUAAACCUUCUUUUGCCAGUCUAAUAACCACAUUUGAUGUAAUAAAACAGCAAGCACUUAGGAAUAUUCCAAUAAAAAAGAUUUAUUUUUAUUCUAGUAUAUAUUAUAAUGAAUAAUAUUAUUGAUAUUAUAGAAUUUAAAAUUACAUUAAAUCAGAGCUAUUUAUGUUUAUUAUGCAAAAUGUACACAAUAUAGAAAAAUAUAAAGAAAAAUUUCAAUACACAAAGUAUGGAUAUGCUUUAUUUUCACUCCAUUUUCACAUAUAUAUUGACACAGAUGCAGUCAAACAUUAUUUAGAGUUUUAUGAAUUAAUAACACAGUCAUUAAAAAGUAAUUAACCAAGUAAUAUUCAUAGUCAUUGCAAACUAAUUGGAAAAUAUAAAUAAAUAAAAUAUAAGCAUCACUUUCUUUUUAGUAGCACAAUACUUUUUCUGAUACAUGUUAUUUCUAUUUUUUUGCUUUAAAAUUCAAAAGAUUAUAUUUAUGCAGUAAUGGAUUUUUGUGGUUGUUAUAGAGCCCAUGUGCCCUGGGGAAGGAUUUUAAAUAUCAUGAAACUGAGUUCUUUCCAGUUUUCUUUCUCAUUAAGGGGACUGAAGAGAUCAGCCCCUUAGCAAAGAUUUGACUGAGAUAUAAUAGAGACAAUUAUGUACUCUAUUACCAAUUCGGAUGGACUUUAUGGUAUUUAAAUGAACAAAGCUCUCUUUGUCAUUUCAUUAACAUGAUUCCUUUUCAGAGAAUGAGCAGUUCUCAUCUCCUUCCUCCAUUUUGGGAAAACAGCCCAAUUUUUCUCAAGCUCAUUUGAAAGGCAAAAUGGUUGUUGAUCUCUCCAUAAUUGAUUGAGGAUGUGUCUGGCCGCUGAGAGUACCUGAAUCCAUGGCUUAUAUCAGACCACACUAGAGUGAGAAGUGCCAUGUUCUAUUUGGGUGGAAUAGUUAGAGGUUCAAAAACCACAGAACAUAACAAGCAUUAUUAAUUUAUAAUUCCGUGGCAUUUGUUAGCUUGUUUUUCUCAUUUUUUCUUUUUCCCUCUUAAAAAAUGAAACGUGUAACGUCUGAGACCAGAACAUAUUGUUCUAAAAGGGUUCAAAUUUAAAAUGCUGAAUUUCUUCAUUUGAACUUUACCCAAUUAUGAGAAUUUUAAUACUUGCAAAUUAUUUUUUAUUGUUUUAUUUUACUUUUAAAAGUAAUUUUAUACAUUAGCUAGUCUUACUAAUUAAAAUGCAUACAUCCAAAUUGCCCAUAUUUAAGAAGCAUGUCAAAAAUAAAUGAAAAUAAUGGAUCCAGAUGAACAAUGAGCUUUUAUUUUACUUUGGCAUAUUUUAAGAACUAUAAGCUCAGAAGUAUGUAUGCAUAUUAUUUUAUAUAUUGUACAUUAUUAUAUGUACAUUAUCAUAUACACGUAAGCAUAUUCAUGUAUUACCUAUCAUAGACGUUUGAAAUGCUUGUUUCUCGGUGCCGUAAAGAAUAGCACUUGAACAUAAAUUUAAUUUACUCAGCAAGGCCGUUUUUAUACUUUCUGCAGAAAGGGUACACUCACCAGCAGUUUUGCCAGGAGAGUACACCAAACAAAGGAGACAGGGUCAUUUCCAACCUGCAGUGCCCACCAUACUGUUGUGUCCAGUUUCCGUUGGCUGGAACGGGGCCUCACAUUUUGUUUUGUCUCGAUUGACUGGCGACUUAGAACUUUUUAAAGAGGCAAAAGUAGAAGAGAACAAAGGAGAGAGGAAGUAACUUGUGGAAUGCUGAGAAAGGUAAAAACACCUUUAAAUAAGGAAAAGGAACAGGCUAUGACCUAAUGCUUGCUUCAACCAGUAUAAGCCUGCCAGGGCAAAUAUUUAGGCCAAAUUGUGGGAGCUAAGAACAUAAAGUACGUUGAUUUCUUUACCACAGCUAGCAGAUAUUUAAGAAUGUUAGCACAGGUCUUUGAAUAAAUUUUGCUUCUAAGAGAAGUUACUAUUUAUUCCUAAUAAAUGGGGAGGAAAAUCUUUGAAGAGGAACCUUUACUUUAUUUUUUACAAUAGAGUUCAAUAUAAAAGCUGGGGAGGGGCUGGGCGUGGUGGCUCACGCCUGUAAUCCCAGCAUUUUGGGAGGCCGAGGCGGGCGGAUCACAAGGUCAGGAGAUCGAGACCAUCCUGGCUAACACGGUGAAACCCCGUCUCUACUAAAAAUACAAGAAAUCAGCCGGGCGUGGUGGCGGGCACCUGUAGUCCCAGCUACUCGGGAGGCUGAGGCAGGAGAAUGGCAUGAACCCGGGAGGCAGAGCUUGCGGUGAGCUGAGACCGCACCACUGCACUCCAGCCUGGGAGACAGAGCGAGACUCGUCUCAAAAAAAAAACAAACAAACAAAACCUGGGGAGGAUUUUCUGCCUUAUAGAUACUAAGAAGAGACCUCCAUAUUGUCUCUUUGGGUCUUGGUAAUGCUUAUAUAAGCUACCACCUUGUAUAAGACAUCGAACCACAUACCUUGAGCCUGCUCUCUCAGUAUUACUCUUCUAAGAGUGAAAAGAAGUAGUCCAGUAUUGAACAUUAGUUAAAAUAAGGACACAAAUGUCUGUGUAAUUAAGUUCUUAAACAACAGAGUAGAAAUGGAAACAAACUUUAAAUACCCUACUUAAGAUCUGUAAAAUUCUUUGGAACUACCCAAGUUUCUGUGUUACUUCAUGGAUCUUUUGCCUAAGAUGAGACCUCUUCCUCGAGUGCUCUUUUAUCCAUUUCGACUCAUCCCUGAGACCCGUAAUUUAGCUAAAUCCCAUUCAUUGUUUGAGUAAAGUGAGUACAGAUUUUGGGGACCUAAAGCAUGUGUAGGUUUGAGGGACUUAUUUUAAGAAAAAGAAUAUAAAGUUACAAAUAGAAAGGGUAUGUUGGAAAUGAAAGUUGAUUAUGAAUAAGAAAAUAAAUCACAACAAAUAACUGCACACUUAAGAUUCAGCCCAAUUUCUUCCAAGAUCUCUUUAGGUAAUUUAAUGAAAAUACUUAAGAAGAAAUGAUACCUGUUUGCAUCCUGGAUUUUCCUCCCCAAAUUUAACACCCGUUCCUCUCUGGGACCUGCCCAAGGGAGAAACCAAAAAACUGAAGUUUCUUUAAAAAUUUUGUUUUAAUUGACACAUUGUACAUAUGGGAUACAAUGAAAUCUUAUCCCCUGUGACAACAUGAAUAAACUUGGAUCACAUCAUGUUAAGUAAAAUAAGCCAGACACAGGACAAAUAAUAAUCACACUCAUGUGAAAUCUAAAAAAAAAAAAAAAAAGUUGUUAUCAUAGAAGCAGAGUGGAACAGUGGUUAACCAGAGACUGUCGGGGGAGAAUGAAGAGAGGUUGGUCAAGCGCUUCUUGAGCAUUAUGGCAAGUCUCAGGCUGUCCCUUCUUGUAAGAAAUCUUCUUUGUUUGCUUUCAGUAUUCCUCCCCUGAGCUUCUGUGGCAUAUUAUGUCCUCCUCUAUCUUAGCAUUUACCACCUUGUAUUUUAAGUGCCCUAAUUAGAAUAGGAGUCUUUCGGAUAGGAAAUUUGAAUCCCUCCCCAUUUUAUCCCCAAUUUUCAGCACAGUUCUUAUCAUAUAAUAUGCACCAAAUAAAUAUUUUCCAAUAAUAGCAAAUAAUUGCAUAGUGCUUACCAUAUACCGGGCUCUCUUCUAAGUAUUUUACAUCUCUUCACUAGAACAAAGCUAACUUUAUUAUCAAUAUUAUAUAGAUGAGGAAACUAAGAAGUAGAGAGCUUAAAUAACUUGCCUAAGUCCAGAGAGUUAGUUCACACUGGAGCUGAAAUUCAAACCCAGGCGGUGUGCUAAUACAGUUCAUGCUCUUGACCCCAUGCAAUACUACCUCUCAAAAGGAAUGCUUUUCUUCAUUCUUGCUUUAAGUGGCAUUUCAACUCCAUGCCUCAAGGCAUGGUUUGCUACAAUGGCCGACUCCUUAAGAAUUGAUAAUCCAAUUUGUGAAUUUUUGAAGACUUGCAGCCUCUUCACCCCCCCUACAGCUUCUUGCCUGUAGGAAACACAUGCUUGUUAGUACCUCCCCAGAGAUGUUGUCAGGAGAUGAGACCAUAUUACUUCCAUUGUCCUCUACAACCCCCAGUUAUUCUUAAUCCUACUGGGGUCUCUAGAAGCUAAUCUUGCAGUAGUUUGUCUGUAAGUGUGGAUUCCAAAUAGGAAGUAACCCUUUAUUACCUAUACUUAACCUUUUCACCCCUUAAGGGUUGAUCAUCCGAACCAAUCCUCUCCUUGGAAAGAUAUGUUAAGUACACAAAUGGAAGCUCAAAAUAUGUCCUUUCAGCAGUUGAAAGAUUUUUAGUGGCAGAGUGACAGAAUAAAAACUAUAUUUAAAGAGGAUUAGGAGAUGCAUUGAAGAAGAGGAAGAGAUGGGAGAUGAGGAGAUGAGUGAAGAGCAAAUUGGUUUCGUGCUGCAACAGCUUCCAAUGUGGACACUGACCCUGCAAACCUGCCAACCAUUUCUAACACUUUACUUUAAAAUAAUUAUUUCCUGAAACUGAUUUUGGUAUAAUUUCCCAAGUCUAGUGAUUCUCAUAACAGUUUACUUUGAGAACCUUGUGUAUCAGUCCAUUCUCACACUACUAUAAAGAACUGCCCAAGACUGGGUAAUUUAUAAAGGAAAGAGGUUUAACUGACUCACAGUUCCGCAGGGCUGGGGAAGCCUCAGGAAACUUACAAUCGUAGUAGAAGGGGAAACAAAUGCAUCCUUCUUCAAAUGGCGUCAGGAAGGAGAAGUAGUGCUGAGCAAAGGGGGAAAAGCCCCUUAUAAAAACAAUCAAAUCUUGUCAGAACUCACUCACCAUCAUGAGAAAAGCAGCAUGGGG
rnacentral:lncRNA from 10 species